GACGAGGGAGCCUAGCGUUGUUCGGAAUCAUUGGGCGUAAAGCGGGUGUAGGCGGACUUAUAAGUCAGGUGUGAAAUCCCAGGGCUCAACCCUGGAAGUGCAACUUGAUACUGUAAGUCUUGAGUGUGGUAGAGGCUAUUAGAAUUCCUGGUGUAGUGGUGAAAUACGUAGAUAUCAGGAGGAAUACCGGAGGCGAAGGCGGAUAGCUGGGCCAACACUGACGCUGAGACCGAAAGGCGUGGGGAGUCAAACAGG
rnacentral:rRNA from 1 species